CAUUAGAUGACUGAAAGCAAGGACUGGUCUCUUAAACCAUUAUAUAGUAAAUAGUAACUACUUCUAAUGA
rnacentral:tRNA from 1 species